UACGAAGGGUGCAAGCGUUACUCGGAAUUACUGGGCGUAAAGCGCUCGCAGGUGGUUCGUUGCGUCGUGCGUGAAAGACCCCGGCUCAACUGGGGAGCGUCGUGCGAUACGGGCGGACUGGAGGCCAGUAGGGGGAUGCGGAAUUCCGGGUGUAGUGGUGGAAUGCGUAGAGAUCCGGAGGAACACCAGCGGCGAAGGCGGCAUCCUGGACUGGUCCUGACACUCAUGAGCGAAAGCGUGGGGAGCGAUCCGG
rnacentral:rRNA from 1 species